UACGAAGGGGGCUAGCGUUGUUCGGAUUUACUGGGCGUAAAGCGCACGUAGGCGGAUCGGUAAGUCAGGGGUGAAAUCCUGGAGCUCAACUCCAGAACUGCCUUUGAUACUGAAGAUCUUGAGUUCGGGAGAGGUGAGUGGAACUGCGAGUGUAGAGGUGAAAUUCGUAGAUAUUCGCAAGAACACCAGUGGCGAAGGCGGCUCACUGGCCCGAUACUGACGCUGAGGCACGAAAGCGUGGGGAGCAAACAGG
rnacentral:rRNA from 1 species